GCAUGUAAUAAUUCAGCAUCGCUGAACCGAAACGAAACAAAAUAAUCACAAAAUCGAAACAACGAAAAAUAUAAAGAAAAAAUAUUCCUGGAAUUUCAUGUUAUUUUCAAUGGAUUGCAACUGGGGAAGGCAUCAAAUCAAAUAUUGAAUAGCACACAAAACUUCUCAAAGGAUAACCAGUAAGAUACUCAUUGAGACAUGUAAAUAUGGGAACAAUAGCGCAUGUAUAAUAGAAGCCAACCCUUGGACCCUUUGGCCAAUUGUGAAAUGCGGCAAGAGCCAAAAGAAGAGCUCAACUGAGGAAUUUAAUUAAGCAGCCCUCUAGACAUGAUAUGAAUCCCUUUGUUAUAUCCCAGCUUGUACGGGCAACCAUAUACUAAGCGAGUUUUUAAUUUCCAAACAGUUUGCCAUUAAAUGCCAAGUUGACCAAAGAAUAUUACACAGCUUCUUGUCUGACAAUGUCAAUUUAUGAACAUUUUUGGCAACCAUUUACCACAUUUUGUUGAUGGAAAUUUCCAACAAAUUCACAAACUCGAAUGUUGAUAGAAAAGCGACCAUCCGCUCGGUUCAUUCACCAGAAUGGUAAAAGCAGUUUUAGGACUUUUGGCGUUGCCAGACUGCACUAAUUACGAUGCAAAGAUGGCCUUAAUUCGUAUACACUCACGGUCAAAAUAUUAGGUACAUAUGUAUAUGUGAAUUGUUUAAUAUCUAGUCGCUAGAAACAUACUUUUUGGCUUACCAGGCACGCCUUGACUUAGCUGUCUGACUCAGUAGAAUGUUUGUAAACACAUUUCAGAUUUCAUUCUAGCUCCAAUUCAUAUACAUAUACAUACAUACAGGUAAAUAAAUUUUUGUUUGUGGAAUAAAAGGGAAAUUCUUGAAAUAUUGCAACCACAACCGAUGGAGAACAAUUGGAGUGGCGAGGCCCGUGGAUCUGGUUGGCUUAAGAGGAAACAUAUUGGAGACGAUUGUCUCAUAGCUGCAAAGAGACCGAAGACAUGCCGUAAUGCUGGGCGUCCGCUUAAAUUGCAAUUCCUACAAUCCUGGUUCCAUUGCGAUAGCUAUGCUGCUGUUCGAAACCCAAAAAAGCAACGAAUUUAGACAAUGAAGCAUUCACAUUUGUAUAACAAACAUUGCAUAUGUUGUAAAAAUUUACUGACGUGAGUGAACGUUACAAUAUAUUUUGAAAAUUUUAAA